rnacentral:rRNA from 1 species
AGAGUUUGAUCAUGGCUCAGAUUGAAUGCUGGCGGCAGGCCUAAUACAUGCAAGUCGAGCGAGAAAGCACUUCGGUGUGAGUAGAGCGGCGGACGGGUGAGUAACGCGUAGGAAUUUGCCCAGUAGUGGGGGACAACAUGUGGAAACGCAUGCUAAUACCGCAUACGCCCUACGGGGGAAAGCAGGGGAUCUUCGGACCUUGCGCUAUUGGAUGAGCCUGCGUCGGAUUAGCUAGUUGGUGAGGUAAUGGCUCACCAAGGCGACGAUCCGUAGCUGGUCUGAGAGGAUGAUCAGCCACACUGGGACUGAGACACGGCCCAGACUCCUACGGGAGGCAGCAGUGGGGAAUAUUGGACAAUGGGGGCAACCCUGAUCCAGCCAUGCCGCGUGUGUGAUGAAGGCCCUAGGGUCGUAAAGCACUUUCAAUGGUGAAGAUAAUGACGGUACCUACAGAAGCAGCCCGGCAAAAGUCCGUGCCAGCAGCCGCGGUAAUACGGAGGGUGCGAGCGUUAAUCGGAAUUACUGGGCGUAAAGCGCGCGUAGGCGGCCUGAUAAGUUGGAUGUGAAAGCCCUGGGCUCAACCUAGGAACUGCAUUCAAAACUGUCAGGCUAGAGUAUGGUAGAGGAUAGUGGAAUUUCAGGUGUAGAGGUGAAAUUCGUAGAUAUUUGGAAGAACACCGGUGGCGAAGGCGGCUACCUGGACCGGCACUGACGCUGAGGUGCGAAAGCGUGGGGAGCGAACAGGAUUAGAUACCCUGGUAGUCCACGCCGUAAACGAUGAGUGCUAGUUGUUGGGGUCUUAGGCUUCAGUGACGCAGCUAGCGCGUUAAGCAUUCCGCCUGGGGAGUACGGUCGCAAGAUUAAAACUCAAAGGAAUUGACGGGGGCCCGCACAAGCGGUGGAGCAUGUGGUUUAAUUCGAAGCAACGCGAAGAACCUUACCAGCCCUUAACAUCCCAAUCGCGAGGACCAGAGAUGGACCUCUUCAGUUCGGCUGGAUUGGUGAUAGGUGCUGCAUGGCUGUCGUCAGCUCGUGUCGUGAGAGUUCGGUUAAGUCCCGCAACGAGCGCAACCCUCGCCCUUAGUUACCAUCAGGUUAGGCUGGGUACUCUAGGGGGACUGCCGGUGACAAGCCGGAGGAAGGUGGGGAUGACGUCAAGUCCUCAUGGCCCUUAUGGGCUGGGCUACACACGUGCUACAAUGGCGAUGACAAUGGGUCGCGACCUCGCGAGGGGAAGCUAAUCUCAAAAAAUCGUCUCAGUUCGGAUUGUUCUCUGCAACUCGAGAGCAUGAAGUUGGAAUCGCUAGUAAUCGCGUAUCAGCAUGACGCGGUGAAUACGUUCCCGGGCCUUGUACACACCGCCCGUCACACCAUGGGAGUUGGUUUUACCCGAAGACGGUGCGCUAACCGCAAGGAGGCAACCGGCCACGGUAAGGUCAGCGACUGGGGUGAAGUCGUAACAAGGUAGCC